rnacentral:lncRNA from 1 species
UGAAACCCAUAGAUACGAGGCAGAGAUAAGUUUUUUCAGAGGAAAUUAUCUGAUCAACCAGUAGCAGCCGUUAUCAUUGCAAGUUCUAGAAGGAAUGGACCAUUCCACAUAUAGAUAAGAAGCCACACACUGUAAGAGACACAAGCAGAAUAGUAACAGUAGAAGUUCUUUCCAUUCUUUUGUAAGGUUGUCAGUAAUUUUGCUAUAUUAGAAUAUAAAAUACGUCAUUAUUGUCACAGAGACCUUUAACCAAAAAUUCAAAAUGAUCUCUCUAGAAAGUAACAAAAACUUAAAGAGAUUGAUAGUUCCCCAUGAGAUAAAGAAUCAUACACUCUCUGUCGGUUAUAACAAUCCGGCCCACCUUUGUAAUGACUCAAAUGAUUAUCAUGCCCGCAAUGAUGCUUUUUGUGCAUAUGCCUGUAACCCCAAACACAUCUCAAAAGUUAUUCUCCCCCAUAGGAAAAAAUGAUAGUAUAGUCUACAGCUUUAGUGGGGACAUGACAGAAUCCAUCUCCGAUACAACAAAAACGGUACAGUAACCCACACCUCUUUGGCCCUAUCUACCAGCCUGUUCUAGAGACUUUAAAAUAUGCAAACGGCAAUUAGAUGCUUGUGUAAAGCCACCAAAACUAAAUCGAACCACUAGGUAUAAAAGAAAAUGUGGUAAUAAUAUUUCCUCUUUUUCAUCGGAGGGAGAGCGAGAGAGGACAUAUUUCAUAUAUACCGGUAAGUAAAGAUCUAUAAAUAUCCAUAUCAGAAAAAGAGCAUAUACACUAGCAAUAUAACAAGCAUAUGAAUGAUUACCUUGAGCAAGCCAAGGUGAUGGGCAGUAGCUUUGUUCUUUGCGGGUCUUUGCCAUCUACAUUAAAGAAGAGACACAUACAUCCAUAAUCAGUUCAAGCCAUGAGCCAAUAGACAAAUGUCAGUGAGCUAUGUUUCUCAGCACUUCAUAUCUAUUUUUGAUAUGUGCUCGAAUAUGGAAACUACAACUUUAAAAUAUUGCAUCACCUAAUAUCAGCUCAACCACACAAGCGCAAAUAAAUAGUAGGAAUUUGUUCUACUAGAAGUGCUCAGAAUGAGAUGGAACUUCAGAAACACAAGACUCAUUUGGGUUUCUCGUUAAGAAUGAGACAAGAAAAGAAACGCCAAAAUAUGUCUAUGGGAGAAUUUUAGGAAUCUCAUUUUAUUUUCUUCUGGGUGAACUUUAAAAUUGUAAUGGCAGGUAAAAUGAACCUAGGUUGCAUUUUUCUGAUUACAUAACCUACACAAAGUUCCAGUUAUUAACAUUUUACGAUGCAAGAAACCAGCAGUACCCAGGAUGUAUGCAUACAUCUGCUGCUAUAAUUGUGGCACUUGACAGACUAAAUUGAAGCCAUAAAUGCUUCAAUUAUAGAGGUAAAUGUUCCAAACAUACAAUACUAUACUACUAACCCAUAAAAAUCCAGGGAAAUUGUUCCUGACAUUCCGAAAAAUACUUAUGAAAAUUGUUGCAUGAACAGAUGAGUUAAGACCAAAUCAUUAAUUAAAACUUAAUACAUAUUGCGCCUAUGUACAGAUCUCUCUAAAUAUUAGAAAAUCAAAACAUUUCAACAUGAACAGUUCACUUAUCAUGGCAAAAGAAUGUAACAUAUAUGAGCAGGCCAAACACUCGGGUAAUAAUUGACAAAGAAUAUUCAUUAAAGCUUUGUAAAUUUCAUCAGAACAUCUCUCUUUCCAUAAAAGAAAAGAAAUUCCCCGCAGAAAUACAAAUUGUAGGUGUUAAAGAAUUCCAGAAAAUACUUCUUCGUCAGCGAGAGUGAAAAAAAAGGGGAAAUUGAAGUGUAUCAUUCAUUGUCUCUACGAAUUACAAUCAGGAAAAGUAAAAACUCGACAAUUUCUCUUCUUCUCCCCUCCGUAAUCAUCAAAACCACGGUAUAAUUAGAAAACGCCCCCAUGAACUAUUCCCCAAUAAGACUUUUCUCAAAAGAAGUGUUAAUGGAUCGACAUCGAUGGAAACAGAAAUCAAACACUUAUGAGCGCAACCAAGAAGCUAGGGUUCUAAAAUUUAGAGAAAACUAAAUAUAUAUAUAUAUACACAUAUGUAAUCAUCGUGUAUAGAGAUUACCUCAUCCUCAAUGUCUUUGAUUUUUUGCAUGACAGUAGCCAUGGUUGAAUAUAUCGAUUGAAGGUUAACUUUGAGUGAAUCCCUUUUUCAAGUAUUCCAACGUUUGCUGAAUUUGCUUCUACACUGUAUGAAGUUAAAAUGAUUCAAUCAAGUAGCGAUUGUCAGGCUUGAAGUGGGCAAGUGGAUCGACCGGGUUGCCCGACCCCGUAACCUUAGGGUUUUGCCGUUUGGGGUGACUUUAUAUCGCACCCAUUUUCUGGUCAGUACCCACAGAUUUCCAGUACACCAUUUUGAAAACAUAGGGUUUCCUUUUCUUCGUAAUACACCCCCUCUUCUUCCCAAAUUACCCUCAUCUUCAACCUUCAAACCCAAGCCCAACUCCAGCCACCACCCGUCCAAAGCCUCAUUGUUGCCACCACCUUCCUUCCACUUCCA